CAUUCGAACUGAUUUUUGUUUUCCUCCAAGAGUGAGACAAACUCCACUUUUCCCCAAAAUUUCAGCCACGAGGCUGCUGGGCAUGUAAUUUUGAAUCUUGGCAAAUAGACAUUCUGCACAUAGGAAGCUGCAAUACAUAUCAAAGUUAGAGAGAAGUGUAACUUCAUUUCAGGAUAAUAUUGAGGAUGAUAAUGAAGAUUAAGCUGAUUAUUAUUGUGGUUUAUUAGCUAAGAUAGAGUAGUGUUAGGAAUGGAUACAUGUAUAGUUGACAAAUGACUUUUAUUAGAAGAUACUUAUGUAGGAUAUAAUAUUUUAGUUUUUUGUAGAGUAUUAGUAGUAAAUUCUAAGUGUAUUAUGAUUAUUUUGGUAUGACUAUGCUUACUUUAGUAUGAGAUGUAUGAAUAUUCAAAAUUAACUUCAUUCUAGUAUUUUUGGAUCAUUAUUAUAAA